rnacentral:lncRNA from 1 species
UUCAACCCUUAUCUCUCUGUCUCUCCUCCACCAUCACCGCCACCGUGACUCCACCACCGCCACCGCCAUGCAUAUGUAUAUCGUGCACCACUAGCAGAUGAAGCUGCCAGCAUGAUCUUAACUCGCCUUUGAUCAACAUCGACUCGGGGAGAGAUCAGAUCAUGCGGCAGCUUCACCUGUUAUCGGAUCACGAAAAUCUUUAUCUGUAUACAGUAAGCAACCCUAAAUUCUUUUGGUCCGUAAUUCCUUCGUUCUGAAUAUUAGUACAAAUUAAUGAAUUAUUAGUUUUUAGAUUUUGGCUUACUUUACUUUAGGUAUCAACUGCAAGUGAUGGCACUGGCUUAUUUUAAAUUCAUCAUUUUUCUGUAUUUAUUAGAUAACUAAAGAUGAAGGGUUGAUAAACGGCAGUGACAAUUCUACUUUCCAAGGGCCACUUAUUUCUUCAUUUUUCAUUCUUCAUUACCAUUAAUUAUUCUUUUCCAAGAACCAAACCAAUCUUCCUCUUUUUUCCCCCCUCUUUUUUUUAAUCAUUAUAGGGAGUCAUCUAUGAACAAUAAUAUGGUAAUGUCCAAGACCAAGAAAUUUAAGAAAUAAAUAAUUGCGAAUUCUUUUUUUCACAGACAAAAAUAAAAACUUCUUGAUUAAAUAUUGAUAUUAGAGUGUUGCGAGAGUAGAGGAUGGGAAUCUUGCAGUCGGGAAGAGGUUUAUGUUAGAAUUGCUGGUGAAUAAAUUUGGUCUGUUUGGAUCUUUUGAGAUCCCUCCUUUUUCUGGCAAUUUUGUAUUAUUUACAUCCCGUUUUGUAUAGCCUUUUUUAGAAGUUCCUAUUGGUUGCAUGAUUUAAUUAUAUUAUCUCUUGCUCUUUACCAUAUAAAGCCAACUCAAAAGGUAUAAAUCCAAUUCUUCAUUUAAUUUUUUUUUUUUUUUUUUUUUUUUUUUUUUUUAGUUCUUUGAUCUUUGAUAAUAUUUUGUGUAUAAAAGCUGUAUGAAAUGUUAAUCGAGUCUUUUUUUUAUUUUUAUUUUUAUUUUUUAUGAUAGGAAAACCCGCAGUCGUUACCUUUCGGGUGCAUACUGGGUAAAUUCUCGGACUGACAUAAUAGCCUGCAAAUCACGCUAAUCAGGUAAACUACACCAGGCAAACCCGGUGUGACAGACUCGAUCGAGAAGGUGUUGGUAAGAAGAAUCGAACUCGUGAUCAAAAGCCUCUGCACUUACCUGCUCCACCAACUCGGCCACCCCCAUGAGAGGCGAGCGCACGUCAAAUAUUUUAAGUAAAACAGACUUGUCUAUAUACAAUUAGCAAAUAAAUAAUCUACAUGAUUGAUCUAGAC